CUCUUUCGGUGCGAAUGUGCUGCACUGGAUCAUUGAACCAGCAGGGUUUCUGUUUCCUAUCAUUCUAGCAAUUAAGGACAUGAGAAUGAUAAGAUGAGUCAUACUAGAAUUUCAAGGAAUCAGUUAUACGUAUAACAAGAGUCCUCUCAAAGUCUUCUUAAACAGUGACUUUGCGUUUAUAUAUCAAUUAUCAAGUCAUGGUCUUUGUUCACUGUUUGGGAAGGGAGAUGGAACCAUCAGCAUAAUUUAUAUCAGCAUAUGACUCUACCUAUCUCUCAAUAAUGAUCGCUCAUUGGCUCAACAAUCUCAGGACUGAUGAAUGGUUGGUACUUAGUGAAAUGAUCGAGGCGCAGAUUUCUUUUGUUAUAAGCUUGAAAACUAAUCGGCGACAGCACACAUCAGUUUAGGAACAAGCACCACCUGAAGUGUCAAUUAAACCCCCAACAUCUUCAUCUAAACCACCUAAAUCCUCUCUUUUUUUUUCCCAAAUUGAAACCACCUUCAUCAGCUUCCUCCCCUAAGGGAAACAAUCAAAAGGGGAAGGCAAUUUUUGUUUGGAUUGAAAAGCGCGCAGGUUUCAUCUGAAUCAUCUGCAUCCCCAUCAUUUACUUCUAGGCCACCCCCAUCUCCCUCUCCCCUUGAGCUCCCAUAGUCCUUGGAACCCUGUCUUUCUGCUUCUUCCUCAAAGUUAAAGAGAAGAAACCGACGCAAAAGGAAAAAAACUUGAGUGUUGAGAAGGUCUUACCUACUUAUCCAUCCCCAGCAUUCCUAGAACCCCAACUGGUAAUUCACUCUCCACCACCUCCAUUUUCCCCAUCUUCAUCAGAAUCACCACCAUUGUCACCUAAGCUGCCUUCAGCCUCAUCUCACUCGUAUAUAAGUGAUCAACAUGUGAAGACAAAUUAUUCAUGGAUUGAAAAGGGCUCAUCUAAUCCAUCUCCAUCAUCACUGCCAUCUGCAUUGGUGAGUAUUUCUGUGCUGCCUCAGUCUUCCCCUAGUCAGCAUUCUUCGUUUUCAUCAUCUGGAUCACCUCCAUCAUCAACUAAGCUGCCUCCAACCUUUAAGGCAUGAUCGGCGGGGGAAGUCACACUAUUCUUUGGUUCAAAAGAGCUCAUUACCUAUAUACAAGGUUCCCAAAGACAUUAAAGCUUUGAUCAAGAAAGAUAUCGUGCCUAAAGUUCUUAACCAGCCACUGUCUCCCUUAACCUAUAAGAACUACUUUGCUGCUCUCUUAUAUGCUGAGAAGGUCUACUUGGAGAAAUGGAAAAAUUAUCAAAUGUUGCAUGUGACAUUGAGUUUGGAAGAAGCAAUUAUAAAGGUCAAAAAGAAGAAUAAAAAAAACUUUGUAAUGUUAGAAUUGGAUUCCGUUCCUCAGAGACGCCCAUUUCUUUUGUCAAGGGACUUUGUUUAUGCACGACCUUCGGGUAGUGAUGUUCAACCAUUUGAGGGAAUUCUCUACCGUGUGGUGAGGGGCAGUCAUGUAUUAGUUGAUUUUGGACAUGAAUUUCAUUAUCAGCGUGAUGCGAAACACAGAUAUGACAUCAGCUUCUCAUAUUACAGGCUCUGCUUUAAAAGAGCUCAUGCUGCUAUCCUAGCUGCAUCAUAUCCUUUGUCCCAGAACUACCUCUUUCCUGAUUGUGUUCCAGAAAAGACCAUCAUUCCCAAAGGUUCAUCAUCCACGUCGGAAAAGCGUUCCACCAAUCAUGAACUUGAUGCAGUUCAAAAGGCUGCAGUUAGACAGAUUUUAGGCCGGUCUGGUUCGCCACCCUACAUUAUACAGGGCCAAGGCUGCGUGAAUUAUGCGAGAAAGACUGAACGUAACAGGUAUAAACUAUCAAGCACAGGAGAGGUUGUUCGAGAAGCAGCAUUGCAAAUCUAUAGAAGUUCCCCAGAUGAUCGUAUUCUCAUAUGUGCCCCCUUAAACAGCACAUGUGAUGGGUUUAUGAUUAGUUUAAAGAAUGUAAUUCCAGAGUGUGACAUGUAUCGAACCAAUGCUGCAUUUAGAGAGGUAAAUGAGGCUGAUCUUCUCCACGUUUGUUACCAGCUUUCGGCUACAGAGUGAAGGCCUAUCUUGUGGACAUUUCAGCCAUAUUUUUCUAGUGGAUGCUGCCUUGGCUACUGAGCCAGAGACGAUGAUACCUCUUGCUAAUUUCGCUAAUGAAAGCACGGCUGUUAUAGUAACAGGUGCAACCUAUCAUCCAACAAAUCGGAUGCAAUCUGGUAUGGCCAGGACCAAAGGACUGAAGAUAUCAUACUUUCAAAGGCUCAGCAAGAUGACAAUAAAAUGAGAUGACACCUUCAUUUCCAGUUGUGCAUGUGUUAUGGGCCUUAUGGCAACAUCAACGUAUAUGGAGCUUACUGUGCUGCUCCAAUCCUGAUUGCUCUUUGAACUUUUGAGUUGCGUAAACAUUAUUGGUCUUGUUUAAUUCGCCAACAUUUUCUAUCUUGGGAUUGUGUAAAUAUGAAAUUCAACACAAGUGAAGGAAACUAAACUCUGCGUGAUUAUAAAUUCGACUGUGAUCUUUUUUGUGAUG